CCUGCCAGUAGUCAUAUGCUUGUCUUAAAGAUUAAGCCAUGCAUGUCUCAGUAUAAGCUCCCAGCACGGCGAGACUGCGGAUGGCUCAUUAAAUCAGUUACAGUUUACUUGGUGGUUUUUACUUGGAUACCUGUAGUAAUUCUAGAGCUAAUACAUGCAAAAGGUCCCAGGCAACUGGGACCGCACUUAUUAGGUACAGACCCAACUGCAGGGAAACCUGCAGUAUGGGGAAUCUAGAUAAGCUUAGCGGACCGCACGGCCAUGAGCCGGCGGCGCACCAUUCAAGUUUCUGCCCUAUCAACUUGAUGGUAGUGUAGCGGACUACCACGGUGAUAACGGGUAACGGGGAAUCAGGGUCCGAUUCCGGAGAAGGCGCCUGAGAGAUGGCGACUACUUCCAAGGAAGGCAGCAGGCGCGCAAAUUACCCAAUCCCAAUACGGAGAGGUAGUGACAAUAAAUACCGGCGCAGGCUCCUUAGGGGGCCUGCGACUGGAAUGGGCGAAAUCCAAACACCUCAGCGAGGAACAAUCGGAGGACAAGUCUGGUGCCAGCACCCGCGGUAAUUCCAGCUCCGAUAGCGUAUAUUAAAGUUGUUGCAGUUAAAAAGCUCGUAGUCGGAUCUCGGUGGAUGUGGGUUGUGGUCUGUCCGCAAGGGCGUGUACCAUGCCUACGCCACCUCCUCCCAGAUGACCCUGUCUGCUCUUAACUGAGCGGGCAGGGGAGCUGGGUUGUUCACUUUGAAAAAAUUAGGGUGUUCAAGGCAAGCGAAUCGCUCGUAUACAUUAGCAUGGGAUGAUGGAAUAGGGCUCAAUGUUCCGUUCUUUCGGGUCUGCGGACUUGAGCAAUGGUCAAUAGGGACGGUCGGGGAUGUUAGUAUUAUCUGGCGAGAGGUGAAAUUCUUGGACCCAGGUAAGACUAUCAACAGCGAAAGCAUUCAUCAAGGACGUUCCCAUUGAUCAAGAACGAGAGUUAGGGGAUCGAAGACGAUCAGAUACCGUCGUAGUCCUAACCUUAAACGAUGCCGACCAGGGAUUGGAGAUCGGUUUCCCGACGCCUCCUCCAGCACCUUCAGCGAAAGCAAAGUCUUUGGGUUCCGGGGGGAGUAUGGUCGCAAGGCUGAAACUUAAAGGAAUUGACGGAAGGGCACACCAGG
rnacentral:rRNA from 1 species